AUUGAACGCUGGCGGCAUGCCUUACACAUGCAAGUCGAACGGUAACGCGGGGCAACCUGGCGACGAGUGGCGAACGGGUGAGUAAAGCAUCGAAACGUGCCCAGUAGUGGGGGAUAGCCCGGCGAAAGCCGGAUUAAUACCGCAUACGACCUAUGGGUGAAAGGGGGGGAUCGCAAGACCUCGCGCUAUUGGAGCGGCCGAUGUCAGAUUAGGUAGGUGGUGGGGUAAAGGCCUACCAAGCCGACGCUCUGUAGCUGGUCUGAGAGGACGACCAGCCACACUGGGGCUGAGACACGGCCCAGACUCCUACGGGAGGCAGCAGUGGGGAAUUUUGGACAAUGGGCGCAAGCCUGAUCCAGCCAUGCCGCGUGCGGGAAGAAGGCCUUCGGGUUGUAAACCGCUUUUGUCAGGGAAGAAAUCCUUUGGGUUAAUACCUCGGGGGGAUGACGGUACCUGAAGAAUAAGCACCGGCUAACUACGUGCCAGCCGCCGCGGUAAUAC
rnacentral:rRNA from 1 species